rnacentral:rRNA from 1 species
CCCUGCUUUUGUGGGGUGCUCGAGUGGCGAACGGGUGAGUAACACGUGAGUAACCUGCCCUUGACUUUGGGAUAACUUCAGGAAACUGGGGCUAAUACCGGAUAGGAGCUCCUGCUGCAUGGUGGGGGUUGGAAAGUUUCGGCGGUUGGGGAUGGACUCGCGGCUUAUCAGCUUGUUGGUGGGGUAGUGGCUUACCAAGGCUUUGACGGGUAGCCGGCCUGAGAGGGUGACCGGCCACAUUGGGACUGAGAUACGGCCCAGACUCCUACGGGAGGCAGCAGUGGGGAAUAUUGCACAAUGGGCGGAAGCCUGAUGCAGCAACGCCGCGUGCGGGAUGACGGCCUUCGGGUUGUAAACCGCUUUCGCCUGUGACGAAGCGUGAGUGACGGUAAUGGGUAAAGAAGCACCGGCUAACUACGUGCCAGCAGCCGCGGUGAUACGUAGGGUGCGAGCGUUGUCCGGAUUUAUUGGGCGUAAAGGGCUCGUAGGUGGUUGAUCGCGUCGGAAGUGUAAUCUUGGGGCUUAACCCUGAGCGUGCUUUCGAUACGGGUUGACUUGAGGAAGGUAGGGGAGAAUGGAAUUCCUGGUGGAGCGGUGGAAUGCGCAGAUAUCAGGAGGAACACCAGUGGCGAAGGCGGUUCUCUGGGCCUUUCCUGACGCUGAGGAGCGAAAGCGUGGGGAGCGAACAGGCUUAGAUACCCCGGUAGUCCACGCUGUAAACGGUGGGUACUAGGUGUGGGGUCCAUUCCACGGGUUCCGUGCCGUAGCUAACGCUUUAAGUACCCCGCCUGGGGAGUACGGCCGCAAGGCUAAAACUCAAAGGAAUUGACGGGGCCCCGCACAAGCGGCGGAGCAUGCGGAUUAAUUCGAUGCAACGCGUAGAACCUUACCUGGGUUUGACAUGGAUCGGGAGUGCUCAGAGAUGGGUGUGCCUCUUUUGGGGUCGGUUCACAGGUGGUGCAUGGCUGUCGUCAGCUCGUGUCGUGAGAUGUUGGGUUAAGUCCCGCAACGAGCGCAACCCCUGUUCACUGUUGCCAGCACGUUAUGGUGGGGACCCAGUGGAGACCGCCGGGGUCAAC